UGGGGAAUUUUGGACAAUGGGCGCAAGCCUGAUCCAGCCAUGCCGCGUGCGGGAAGAAGGCCUUCGGGUUGUAAACCGCUUUUGUCAGGGAAGAAAUCUUCUGGGUUAAUACCUCGGGAGGAUGACGGUACCUGAAGAAUAAGCACCGGCUAACUACGUGCCAGCAGCCGCGGUAAUACGUAGGGUGCGAGCGUUAAUCGGAAUUACUGGGCGUAAAGCGUGCGCAGGCGGUUAUGCAAGACAGAUGUGAAAUCCCCGGGCUCAACCUGGGAACUGCAUUUGUGACUGCAUGGCUGGAGUGCGGCAGAGGGGGAUGGAAUUCCGCGUGUAGCAGUGAAAUGCGUAGAUAUGCGGAGGAACACCGAUGGCGAAGGCAAUCCCCUGGGCCUGCACUGACGCUCAUGCACGAAAGCGUGGGGAGCAAACAGGAUUAGAUACCCUGGUAGUCCACGCCCUAAACGAUGUCAACUGGUUGUUGGGAAGGUUCCUUCUCAGUAACGUAGCUAACGCGUGAAGUUGACCGCCUGGGGAGUACGGCCGCAAGGUUG
rnacentral:rRNA from 1 species